UGCGAAAGGGACUGCACGAAGCUAUUAUGUGACACGUUCAGCUCAGCUGCACUUAGGAGGUAAUGAUGCAUCACUCGAUUGGUAGUGCCCUCGUUCCAGAAAAUGGACGAAACAGAACAGCAGGAGGUCCAAAGGAUACGUUUGUCAAAUGAUGAAGAAGAAAAGGAUCCCCUGCUCUUCACCUUUUAUUUUCGGGAAGACAUGGAUUCAGAUUCAGAAAACUUUAUUGUCUGUCGUAACAGUAAAUCAUCUUUGAAAAUGUCUUCCUUAACAUGGCAGCUGAGGAGGAUCUUCAAGUCAACGCCAUGUUCCUGGGUCACUGGGUCACUCAUUGACAUUGCGAUGUGUGUGUGUGUGUGUGUGUGUGUGUGUGUGUGUGUGUGUGUGUGUGUGUGUGUGUGUGUGUGUGUGUGUGUGUGUGUGUGUGUGUGUGUGUGUGUGUUGAGGUUUUGAGUUUGGUUAUCUGUUGAGUGUAUGACGCGCUUCUGAAUAAAGUGUUAAAACGUU